rnacentral:tRNA from 1 species
GCCACGGUGGUCUAGCGGUUAGAACGCUGGCCUUGUAAUCCAGGGGGUCUCGGGUUCGAUUCCCGGCGGUGCCC